rnacentral:rRNA from 1 species
UACGAAGGGGGCUAGCGUUGUUCGGAUUUACUGGGCGUAAAGCGCACGUAGGCGGAUUGUUAAGUCAGGGGUGAAAUCCCGGGGCUCAACCCCGGAACUGCCUUUGAUACUGGGUAUCUCGAGUCCGAGAGAGGUGAGUGGAAUUCCGAGUGUAGAGGUGAAAUUCGUAGAUAUUCGGAGGAACACCAGUGGCGAAGGCGGCUCACUGGCUCGGUACUGACGCUGAGGUGCGAAAGCGUGGGGAGCAAACAGG